UGAAUUCUAGUUAACAGUAAGUACAGAGAAGUAAAACAAGCUGGAUUAUAUUUUUGUUUCAGGCAGAAGACGCCUCUUCACUCCUGAAAAUAAGCUCAACAAAUGCCUACAAUAAUAAUUAUUAGGUGAUUUAACGACACGAUAACCAAGAAAAUAGAAAUCUAAUAUCAGACAGGUAGCUGGGAAUGCUUUAUUGUGUAGUGGUGAUAGUUACAACAUAACAUUAUUACAUAGCAAUAAAAUUAUGCAGACAACGUUGCUCUUCGUUUUGUGUCACGGUCAAGAGACCAAAAUGUUUUUAUAUCUCUCAACAUUUAUCUUAUGUAAAGAAGCGAAUAUAGGUGGUAAGUUUGAAUUACGACGGAUUAAAAUAAAUGAUUAUUUUAAAAAGGUA